UACGUAGGGUGCAAGCGUUGUCCGGAUUUACUGGGCGUAAAGAGCGCGCAGGCGGUCGUCCAAGUCGAGUGUGAAAGCCCCCGGCUCAACUGGGGAGGGUCACUCGAUACUGAUCGACUCGAAGGCAGGAGAGGGUAGUGGAAUUCCCGGUGUAGUGGUGAAAUGCGUAGAUAUCGGGAGGAACACCAGUGGCGAAGGCGACUACCUGGCCUGUUCUUGACGCUGAGGCGCGAAAGCUAGGGGAGCAAACGGG
rnacentral:rRNA from 1 species